AUUGAACGCUGGCGGCAGGCCUAACACAUGCAAGUCGAGCGGAUGAGAGGAGCUUGCUUCUCGAUUCAGCGGCGGACGGGUGAGUAAUGCCUAGGAAUCUGCCUGGUAGUGGGGGACAACGUUUCGAAAGGAACGCUAAUACCGCAUACGUCCUACGGGAGAAAGCAGGGGACCUUCGGGCCUUGCGCUAUCAGAUGAGCCUAGGUCGGAUUAGCUAGUUGGUGAGGUAAUGGCUCACCAAGGCGACGAUCCGUAACUGGUCUGAGAGGAUGAUCAGUCACACUGGAACUGAGACACGGUCCAGACUCCUACGGGAGGCAGCAGUGGGGAAUAUUGGACAAUGGGCGGAAGCCUGAUCCAGCCAUGCCGCGUGUGUGAAGAAGGUCUUCGGAUUGUAAAGCACUUUAGGUUGGGAGGAAGGGUUGUAGAUUAAUACUCUGCAAUUUUGACGUUACCGACAGAAUAAGCACCGGCUAACUCUGUGCCAGCCGCCGCAGUAACAC
rnacentral:rRNA from 1 species